rnacentral:rRNA from 1 species
UACGGGGGGGGCAAGCGUUGUUCGGAAUUACUGGGCGUAAAGGGCUCGUAGGCGGCCAACUAAGUCGGAUGUGAAAUCCCCAGGCUCAACCUGGGAACUGCAUCCGAUACUGGAUGGCUUGAAUUCGGGAGAGGGAUGCAGAAUUCCAGGUGUAGCGGUGAAAUGCGUAGAGAUCGGGAGGAACACCAGUGGCGAAGGCGGCUACCUGGACCAGCACUGACACUGAAGCACGAAAGCGUGGGGAGCAAACAGG